UAACAUUACAAUUAUAUACUAUGUCUCUCAGUAAGGCAUUGUUACAUCGAAAAAUCUUGUUGAAGACUCUUCCAUUCCUUUCCAGCCAGAUAGCAUAUGCAAAUUCAGCUGUAACCAUUUUGAAGGUGGCUGCUCGACAUGUUUGACCCUUGGCUUUGCUAAUCAACCACUGCAUUUUCUGAUUCCAAUCAAUAGUGGGUGGUAAUGUUCUUGCAAAAAGUUCAUUGUUAUUACCCAUAAGUCUACAGUGACAGGGCAGGUCAUUAACAAAUGAUCUCUUGUUUCAGGGUGGAUUUGGCAUAAGGUGCAUUGCUGAUCAGUACUCAUUCUUCAAUUGUGUAGUCUAUCCUUUGUUGGUAGUCUGUCCUGUAGGAAUAGCCAUAGGUUGAAAAUUGCUUUUGGCCUUGCUUGGUUUGUAUGAUUAAAUUCUUCCAUGGGAUUCUCGGCACUUCUUGUAUCUGUGACUGGUACAAUUGUCUAGUCGAGCAUUUCUGAUCCUUCCAAUUCUGGAGUCUGUAGAAUAUCUCUUGAUUGGAUGAUCUUUUUAACCAUCCAACUUGCUUGAGCAGGAAUUGAAAUGGAUUCUAUUGGUCUGUCUUUGAUAUAAUAAACAGUUAUCCACCUAAUCCACAGCUAUUGUUGCCUUGAGCAAAAGUAAAUUGUUGAAUUAUCUUGCUGAUCUUUUUAAUCCUCUAUUUUUUUU
rnacentral:lncRNA from 1 species